CGAAACACCAACGUCAAAGACCUGGGAGUGAUUAUGUCGGAGGAUCUCACCUUCAAGGACCAUAACAUUGUAUCAAUCGCAUCUGCUAGAAAAAUGACAGGAUGGAUAAUGAGAACCUUCAAAACUAGGGAGGCCAAGCCCAUGAUGACACUCUUCAGGUCACUUGUUCUAUCUAGGCUGGAAUAUUGCUGCACACUAACAGCACCUUUCAAGGCAGGUGAAAUUGCUGACCUAGAAAAUGUACAGAGAACCUUCAUGGCGCGCAUAACGGAGAUAAAACACCUCAAUUAUUGGGAGCGCUUGAGGUUCCUAAACCUGUAUUCCCUGGAACGCAGGAGGGAGAGAUACAUGAUUAUAUACACCUGGAAAAUCCUAGAGGGACUAGUACCGAACUUGCACACGAAAAUCACUCACUACGAAAGCAAAAGACUUGGCAGACGAUGCACCAUCCCCCCAAUGAAAAGCAGGGGUGUCACUAGCACGUUAAGAGACCAUACAAUAAGUGUCAGGGGCCCGAGACUGUUCAACUGCCUCCCAGCACACAUAAGGGGGAUUACCAACAGACCCCUGGCAGUCUUCAAGCUGGCACUGGACAAGCACCUAAAGUCAGUUCCUGAUCAGCCGGGCUGUGGCUCGUACGUUGGUUUGCGUGCAGCCAGCAGCAACAGCCUGGUUGAUCAGGCUCUGAUCCACCAGGAGGCCUGGUCACAGACCGGGCCGCGGGGGCGUUGACCCCCGGAACUCUCUCCAGGUAAACUCCAGGUGUUAUAUAUUGUAACUGGUGUUACAUAUCGUGGGAGGUGAAGGUCUGGCUGCACACACCCAGGGUCUGGGUUCGACUCCCUGCGAGGGUUGAAAUAUUGGAGGUGUUACCUGUGAGUCUGGUGGUCAGGGUCUCUUGAUCCAAGGAAUGUGAUGAAUGCCACCUGGGAGUGAACUUAUCCUCCCAGGUGGUGCAUGACCCCCACGGGUUGAGCGCUCCACCACGAGUAGUACUGACAGUGGUGGUGUAGUAGUGCCAUCUAGUGGUGGUAGCCAGAGUUAGUUAGGUCAUCAGUGAUGGUGUUAUAGUGAAGGUCAGGUCAGUGACCAACCUCAAGGUCAGUUGUCCGUCACUGGUCGUAUACGACGGACGUGCUGCUGCUCCUUCUCCUGCUGCCCCGCCGGUUUUACCGCUUCCUCACCCUCUUAAUACACUUAAAUAACGUGUGAUAACCGAGUUGUGUGGAGAUGCAGCAGCUGGAGGCGGCGUUAAAGGUGGGCAGGGCCCACUGGUUGAAGAAUCUGCGUGCUGUGAGCAGCUGCUGUGUAGUGAAGACAGUGUUGCGAGCAGCUGCUGUGUGGUGAAGACAGUGCUGUGGGCAGCUGCUGUGUGGUGAAGACCGUGCUGUGGGCAGCUGCUGUGUGGUGAAGACCGUGCUGUGGGCAGCUGCUGUGUGGUGAAGACCGUGCUGUGGGCAGCUGCUGUGUGGUGAAGACCGUGCUGUGGGCAGCUGCUGUGUGGUGAAGACAGUGUUGUGGGCAGCUGCUGUGUGGUGAAGACAGUGU